GCUCAGCUGGCUAGAGCGUGUGGCUGUUAACCACAAGGUCGGAGGUUCAAACACUCCUUC
rnacentral:tRNA from 1 species